AAAGCUGCUUGAGACAAUGUCCAUUGUAAAAAGUGCAAAUAAACUUGAAAAUGAACUUGACCAUUUUUGGAACUUAACAAGCUCCACAGAUGCUCCUGCAGACUGAUCAUCAACAAAUUGUAAAAGUGUAAGACCAGAACUAAAAUAUUGUCAUGAAAUUGAGCUUUUCUAUGUUGUGUAUAAAGUAUGUGUCACUACGCAUCCAGUUUUCAAGGAAAUGAAUUUAUAGUCAGUUCAAAUAAAAUUACAAAGCAUAAUAACAUUAACAUUACAACAUUAUAACAUUACUAAACAUAAUAGAAGCCAUUUUGCUCAUUUUUGUUACAUUUUUCAUCUUGCAGUUUUAACAGAUGUUACUUUAAAUGAAAAUUUGGACAGAAGAGCAAAGUACCAGACCAGAUCAAAGUUUAGAUUUGAUCUCUUUCACGUUUUCUCUGCUGCUCGUAUUUCUCUGGGAUUGCUAAACACCAUAUCUGAUAACCAUCAUCACACUGUCUGUUCUAGAAUUCUGAGCAUGUUUUUGAGAUUAUCUUGAAAUUUUAUAUAUAUAUAUAUAUAUAUAUAUAUAUAUAUAUAUAUAUAUAUAUAUAUAUAUAUA